CUUCUCUCUUCUAGAGAAAUCUUCAUCUUCAUCUCCUUUUCAGUACAAUCAAGAAUCAACCCAACUCAACAAAAUAACCAAAAUCCGCCAUUGAAACUGAGAAGCCUUCAUCAACCGCACGCAGCUUCUCAUCCAUGAGAUCGAGCUCUUUGACGAUGGGAGAAUGGAUCUGUGCCUCGCUCGCCUCGCCGAUGAGACCCGAUUUUCUGUGAAUGAAGUGGAGGCCUUGUAUGAGCUCUUUAAGAAGUUGAGCAGUUCAAUCAUUGAUGAUGGGUCUAUUCACAAGGAAGAGCUUCAAUUGGUGCUGUUCCAAACUCCACAUGGCGAAAAUCUUUUCCUAGACCGGGUUUUUGAUCUUUUUGAUGAAAAGAGAAAUGGUGUUAUUGACUUUGAUGAAUUUGUACAUGCACUCGGUAUCUUUCGUCCCUGUGCUCCUAUAGAAGAAAAAAUCGACUUUGCAUUCCGGCUAUAUGACCUGAGACAAACUGGAUUCAUUGAGCGAGAAGAAGUUAAGCAAAUGGCAGUUGCAAUAAUGAUGGAAUGUGAUAUGAAAUUAUCAGAUGAUCUUCUAGAGGCCAUUAUUGACAAGACAUUUGCUGAUGCUGAUGCUGAUGCAGACAAGGACGGUAGGAUCAACAAAGAAGAAUGGAAAGCAUUCGCCAUUCGACAUCCCACCCUCUUGAAGAACAUGACUCUUCCUUACUUGAAAGACAUCACCACAGUAUUUCCAAGCUUCAUUUUCAACACCGAGGUCGAAGAAGACUGAUCAUUUUUUGGGGUUUCCCUCAGUUGCAUCCACUAGAUUAAAAUGAAGAGAAUUGGCCCUUUUUACCCUUUAAGCAAGGCUGCAUUGCCUGCCAUACCAGGCAAUGGAAGCUAUAGGUGUUACUCUUGCACUAUUGUACUCAAAUAAUAAGCUUUAUACAUCAGCUGCCUAACAUAUAGUUUUACACUAUGAUAUUAUGAGCAAAGCGUGACAUUUCCAGAUGACCAUACGACCUAGGUCAUCAUCGCCUCCUCCGAUCAGUCGUCGGGCUUCUCCGAUCAGUGUUGUACGCCUCUGAUUAUCCUCUCCACGAUCAUCCAUCUCAUCUCAGGUUUUGGCUUUGGGGAUUUUCCAAAUCAACAUCGUCGUCUCUUCCUUCUUCCGCCUCGUCAGUUCCCUUGGCACCCUCUAAGAUACUCUUCAACUUCGAGAAAA